GUAAUGUAUGGGGAUCUGCCUGAUGGCGGGGGAUAACUACUGGAAACGGUAGCUAAUACCGCAUAACGUCGCAAGACCAAAGAGGGGGACCUUCGGGCCUCUUGCCAUCGGAUGUGCCCAGAUGGGAUUAGCUAGUAGGUGGGGUAACGGCUCACCUAGGCGACGAUCCCUAGCUGGUCUGAGAGGAUGACCAGCCACACUGGAACUGAGACACGGUCCAG
rnacentral:rRNA from 1 species